AGAGCGCAGGGCGGAUGCCCUGGCAAUGGGAGCCGAUGAAAGACGCAGUAAGCUGCGAAAAGCUGUGGGGAGCCGCAAACAGGCCGUGAUCCGCAGAUAUCUGAAUGGGGAAACCUAUACGAGCAGACCUCGUAUACCGUGCUGCGAAUACAUAACAGUACGGAGGGAACCCGGUGAACUGAAACAUCUAAGUAGCCGGAGGAAGAGAAAACAACAGUGAUUCCGCAGGUAGUGGCGAGCGAGAGCGGAAGAGCCCAAACCGGAGUGCGUGCAUUCCGGGGUUAGGACUGCAUACGUCACGGAUAGAUCGAGCAGAAAGGUCCUGGGAAGACCUGCCAAAGAGUGUGAGAGCCACGUAAGCGAAGAUUUAGAAGGACAGCAGUAUCCAGAGUACCACGAGACACGAGAAACCUUGUGGGAACGCGCGGGGACCACCCCGUAAGGCUAAAUACUACCCAUUGACCGAUAGAGCACAGUACCGUGAGGGAAAGGUGAAAAGGACCCCGGGAGGGGAGUGAAAGAGAACCUGAAACCCUGUGUUUACAAGCUGUGGAAGACCGCAAGGUCGACCGCGUACUUUUUGUAGAACGGUCCGGCGAGCUGCAUGUGCAGGCAAGGUUAAGCAGCAAGAGCUGCGGAGCCGAAGGGAAACCAAGUCUGAAUAGGGCGUCAAGUCAGCACACGCAAGGCCCGAAACCGGGUGACCUACCCAUGUCCAGGAUGAAGCGGUCGUGAAAGACCGUGGAGGUCCGGAGCCACAUCCGUUGAAAAGGGUGGGCAUGAGGUGUGGGUAGGGGAGAAAUUCCAAUCGAACCCGGAGAUAGCUGGUUCUCCCCGAAAUAGCUUUAGGGCUAGCCCUAUGGCAGCCAUAUGGAGGUAAGGCACUGAAUACCCGCGGGGACGUCAAAGUCUGCCAAAGGUUAUCAAACCGGGAAUGCCAUGAUGGUGAUCCAUAGGAGUCAGACUGCACGAGAUAAGUCGGGUAGUCAAAAGGGCAACAGCCCAGAUCUACGGCUAAGGUCCCAGAGUACGUGUUAAGUGGUAAAGGAUGUGGGGUCUCCAAAACAACUAGGAUGUUGGCUCAGAAGCAGCCAUACAUUUAAAGAGUGCGUAAUAGCUCACUAGUCGAGAGGUCCUGCGCCGAAAAUGUCCGGGGCUAAAACACGUCACCGAAGCCUAGGGAUGUAUGUAAAUACAUCGGUAGGGGAGCAUCGUAUGCACGGCGAAGCUGUACUGAUAAAGAGCAGUGGAGAGCAUACGAGAGAGAAUGCCGGAAUGAGUAGCGAGAUGGAUGUGGGAAUCAUCCAGGCCAGAUAUCCAAGGAUUCCAGGGUAAAGCUGAUCUGCCCUGGGUAAGUCGGGGCCUAAGGCGAGGCAGAGAUGCGUAGUCGAUGGGAAGCAGGUUGAUAUCCCUGCACUCAUAGGUAUCAGAAAAGCGGGGACGCAUGUGGAAAGCAGGAGCCGGGAAAGGAAAGACCGGUGCAAGCGUAGGAGGAGACAGGAAUAGUAAGCUUGUCAAUCCAAAGACGUGAUGCGGAGCGAAAUUCAAGUAGCGAAGUCUGUGAGCCAUGUGCCAGGAAAAGCCGCUAUUGUGUACCCAUGACCCGUACCAUAAACCGACACAGGUGGAUAAGGAGAGAAUCCUAAGGCCGGCGGGAGAAGCAUUGUUAAGGAACUCGGCAAAACAGCCCCGUAACUUCGGGAUAAGGGGUGCUGCAGAGAUGCAGCCGCAGAGAAAAGGCUCAAGCAACUGUUUAGCAAAAACACAGGUCUAUGCGAAACCGUAAGGUGAAGUAUAUGGGCUGACGCCUGCCCGGUGCUGGAAGGUCAAGAGGAGGAGUCAGGCAACGAAGCUCCGAAUUCAAGCCCCAGUAAACGGCGGCCGUAACUAUAACGGUCCUAAGGUAGCGAAAUUCCUUGUCGGGUAAGUUCCGACCCGCACGAAAGGCGUAAUGAUUUGAGCGCUGUCUCGACAAUGCACCCGGUGAAAUUGAAGUACCAGUGAAGAUGCUGGUUACCUGCGCCAGGACGGAAAGACCCCAUGGAGCUUUACUCCAGCUUGAUACUGGGAUCCGGUGCUGUAUGUACAGGAUAGGUGGGAGGCUAGGAAGCAUGGACUUCAGUCUGUGCUGAGCCGCUGUUGGGAUACCACCCUUACUGCACCAGAUUUCUAACCUUCGCCCGUGAUCCGGGCGGGGGACAAUGUCUGGCGGGGAGUUUGACUGGGGCGGUCGCCUCCGAAAGAGUAUCGGAGGCGCUCAAAGGUUCCCUCAGAAUGGUUGGAAACCAUUCGAAGAGUGCAAAGGCAGAAGGGAGCUUGACUGCGACACCGACGGGUGGAGCAGGU
rnacentral:rRNA from 1 species